GUUAGAAUGUCAAUAAGGAAUCAAACUGACUGCUGUUUAUAAAAGUUGAUGAUUUAAGAAUUGUGUGAAUUAUCUGAAAAUAGUUGAUAUCAGUGAUUAAAUUAAACUUGUUCUUGCUUUUGUGCAUCCUUUUGGUCAUUUCGUGCUUUUGAAAGAGUGAAAACAGAUGUGAUAUUUAAUAAUUUAAAGAGGAACUGAGAACCAGCUUAAAAAUAAUUUAUAAAUAUUAUAAAUAAAUUGGUUAAAUUAUUAUUUCAAUGGUAUUGUUCCAUCGCCCAAUCUCAAGUCUAUCAGGAAAAACAUCACGAAAUCGGUAAAAACCAACAUCAUCCACCACAAUAUCGUCAUUGCCUGUCACUAUCAAAGUUGCUUCUUUUCGCUCAACCUUAAACUUACAAAGGUUAACACCAUUCAAUUUGUCUUUAAAUUGAUACGAUUCGCCUGGAUUAAGAUGUUUAUCUCGGUCAUUAUUGCAAGCAAAUCCCAAUUGUCUAUCACUCUCUUUCAAAUCAUUGGUUACCUGGAUUCCUGAAUUCAACCUUAUUAUAGUGUCGAUCAGACCUUCACCAGGAAAGUCCAUAAAAAUUAUGCCAAUAAAAUCAUUCUGGGAUCGUGUUAACCAGUCCAUUAUGUAUUUGUUAAUUCGUCGAGCAAUUGUACAUGGAUAAGCUCCGGGUGAUGUUCCUGAAAGGAAAUUGAUGACAAAGGUAUCAGAUUGGUUGGCACGUAACCGAGCACGUUCCAGAUGCUCUUGAACUUUAACCCAUUUGGCUCCGAUUGAGAACACAGUUGGCACAAAGUAAUCAUCUUGAAUCAAAGUACGAUCCCAUGGAACACCAAUUAACUGUUUGGAAGGAUAGUUACGAAGGAUCACAAUUUUACCCCGAACCAUUCCUAGAGGAACAGUUGAGUUGCCUCUCCAAACAUAACCACGAAAUGUUGGUUUACUGAGGUAAUAUUCAACGGUGUCAGCGAAAGAUCUUUGAUUGUUUUUCGGUAUAUGUUCCUCUUUUAUCCUCACAAGCAACACUUCUGUUGGAAAGUUACCCAAAAAGGUGACCAUCGACUGCAACACUUUAUCCAUGUCAGAUUUUUGAUAGAUGGGUCCAUGGUGAAUUUCAAAUCUAUCAUUAAUAUGGCGACAGCGAAUAUCAAAGGCACGAAUUCCAACUCGCAGCUGUGAAUCCAGUGUCAAUAUUUGAGUCUGUACCAAAGGUCCACCAUAAAAGGCCAUCGUAUCAUGUGUCCCAGGAAGCGAUAAGUGGUUAAGAUAGACUGAAUCACUAAUGUUUGACAUCCAAUUUUUGUUGGCUAUAUUAACCCUACCAUCGCGAUUGAAAUAAGCCUCAGUUGACCCCAACUUUAGAGCAGAAAUCAAACUGAGAAAAGAAAGGAGAACGAAAUAAAUCAAAAGCAUAACAGUUGAACAGUUAAAUGACCAAAGUAAAUUUGAUGUCAGAAACACUUGAAACCAAUUUGAUGGAAUAAGAGGAAAACUUUGAAAGAUUGGAAAACACUCUCGUUCGGAAGUAAAAAAGUGUUCACUUUACUUUUUAUCGAAAAAAUCACUAAGAUAAGUAAACUGGGCUGUUGAAUUUUCUGAUAAUCCCUUGGAUGGCAGGCAGAAUAGACCAAACCAGGAGAAGUCAUAAUUUUCCUAAUUUUCGUUGAAUACUUAUUUCAACCGACUUUCAGUCAAACAAAUUGACUUGAUCGUUUUAUCUAGCUGCCGUCAACUGCUUAGACACUUUGUUGAGUUAAUGUGAUAAUUAUUUUUCCCUUUCAAAAAUUGCUGUUACAAAUUCAGUACAUUUGUCAAAUGUAAUGAAUUUAUCCUGAUUCAGAUCAAUGUAGGUGAAUAAAGUGUAAAAUGAUUCAAAGUAGGUGAAUAAAGAAGGAAGCUAAUUGAUUGUCCUUUCAUUAUUCCGUUAAUGUUAACGAAGAUGAAAGAUAAACAUAAUAAUAAGUGAACACGAGGUAAAUGGGCAUGAAAUAUCAUCAUAUUUAUAUGGAUAAAGAUGAAAAUAAAAAUUCUCGUUCUCUUUACCUUUAUCAUUAUUCCAUUAUUCAUAAUAAUAAAGUAUUUUUCGAUUGAAUACUUUCAAUGGUACUUUCCGUAGAAAAUCAAUUCUCAAUAAACCAGGGAUGGGUUUUUCCGUUCCUAGCUGUCUUUU